rnacentral:lncRNA from 1 species
GGGAAGUGCUCCUUUACAUUUUGAUAACAAUGCUGUACACACGUUCACAGCUAUGAUAAGCCUUGCUUGUUUUUAUUUCCUGUACUUGUGAAGUAAUACAAGUUUAAGGAAAAAAUAUUUCAUACGACCAAGUUUCAUACUGAUUAAACCAGAAUGGAGAAACAUGCAUAGUUCACAGGGGUGUAUAUGUGUUGAGAGUUAGCUUCAAAAUUUCCAUAACAGUUCAAUGACAUAAAGGCUGGAAGAUACACCAGGAUACACCAAAAACAUGCAGUUUAGAAUACAUUUUCCUCCCUCCCCUUUCUCCUAUUAAUCAAUACAAUGAAAACAUGGGAAUGAGUCAAAAUAUUAUUAAUGACAAGGUUACAAAAUCAAGCCAAAAAAGUGGGGAAAUGCAAAUAGUUAGGGGUUCUCCCAACAGAGUGGGUUGGCCAUGUUAUAUUUAAAACUCCUUAUGUUUGUGAUGCUAGAGUCCUAAUUUCCUAGCAGCACACAUUUUCCUGCAGUCAGGGCAGACAGUGAGAGUGGCACCUCGUGCUGCAGGCAGCGAUGGUACCAGCAAAUGACAGCUGCAGUGUGUCUCAAGCUGUUCCCGUUUGCCACGUGUGGUCUUCGGGGGAUCCUUGCUGCUGGACGAGGUUUAUUUUAAUGGCCAGACCAUGGCACUGUAGGUGGAUGGGAUAAGUUUUGAGACGCUGCUUUUGAGUUGCUCUGGCAGCAAGGGCUGCUCCUCUCCAACUCUUCCAAGAAGCAGAAGUCACCUGGAGGAGGCAUGGCACGACCUGCAGCAUCAGGCUGCAACCAUAAGGACUGAAAGCUCUUGAUGGCUGAAAGAUGCUUCCUUUUCCUCUGGUGUUACCACAUUGCUGCGGUCCUUGUAGAUGGGAAAGGACAAAGAGGGACAGCAAAUUCUCCAUCCAGGGAAGAUCUUGCCCUGUCACAGACUACAUUGACGCCAGUUUAGGUGCUGUGCGCCCAAGCACAGCUCACAAGCUUGGGCUUCAGCUGCAAGACGGGGGCAGACCCACAGCUUCAGGCUGGCUGGGAGCCUCUGCAGGGCAAGCUGGCAGCAACCCACUGCAGACAGCGUGGAGACACCACUUGGGCUCAGACCCAGCCAGAAGGAGGCCUGGCAUUACCUGUACCACUGCUACAGUGUCCUCAAACUGGC